ensembl:lncRNA
CAACGUUGUCCAUCUCCAGCCGGCCGCCCCCAUCAACCACUUUGGGCCCCACAAACCACCAGAAUGCAGCGCACUACACGGGUACUACGCCAAGUGGUGAUGUUUGAGCCACCAACGUGUGGGGCUGCACGCGGCAACAUUUUGGUCACCCGACAAAAUCUCACUCCAAGGUUUUUUUGAAAAGUUGUCGGCUCUGCAGCUUCUCUUUGUCUGUCCUCUGUCCUCCACAGAGCCACUGUAACAGUCAGUUUGAAGCGUUUGGUUUCUCUUCAGCUCGUCCGCCUGCUGCUGCUGGACGACGACGUCACCGUUUUAACACCAAGAGCUUGAAGACGU